CACAGCAGAGCUUGCUCUGUGGGUGGCGAGUGGCGGACGGGUGAGGAAUACAUGGGAAUCUGCCCAGUCGUAGGGGAUAACGUAUGGAAACGUACGCUAAUACCGCAUGCGCCCUUCGGGGGAAAGCCGGGGACCUUCGGGCCUGGCGCGAUUGGAUGAGCCCAUGUCGGAUUAGCUAGUUGGCGGGGUAAAGGCCCACCAAGGCGACGAUCCGUAGCUGGUCUGAGAGGAUGAUCAGCCACACUGGAACUGAGACACGGUCCAGACUCCUACGGGAGGCAGCAGUAGGGAAUAUUGGACAAUGGGCGCAAGCCUGAUCCAGCCAUGCCGCGUGUGUGAAGAAGGCCUUCGGGUUGUAAAGCACUUUUGUCCGGAAAGAAAAGCACUGGGUGAAUACCCUGGUGUCCUGACGGUACCGGAAGAAUAAGCACCGGCUAACUUCGUGCCAGCAGCCGCGGUAAUACGAAGGGUGCAAGCGUUACUCGGAAUUACUGGGCGUAAAGCGCGCGUAGGUGGUUUGUUAAGUCUGAUGUGAAAGCCCUGGGCUCAACCUGGGAAUGGCAUUGGAUACUGGCGAGCUAGAGUGCGGUAGAGGGUAGUGGAAUUCCCGGUGUAGCAGUGAAAUGCGUAGAGAUCGGGAGGAACACCAGUGGCGAAGGCGACUACCUGGACCAGCACUGACACUGAGGCACGAAAGCGUGGGGAGCAAACAGGAUUAGAUACCCUGGUAGUCCACGCCCUAAACGAUGCGAACUGGAUGUUGGGCUCAACUUGGAGCUCAGUAUCGAAGCUAACGCGUUAAGUUCGCCGCCUGGGGGAGUAC
rnacentral:rRNA from 1 species